GCCGCCUGGUUUAGCUGGUUCUACAUUUUGUAUCCAUGGAAGCCCGAUUUCUUUUCUAAUAACUUUACCAUCCUAUUUUCAAAAAUUGAAGUUACUGGAACAGCUUCAUUAUUUUCCCUAGCAGUGAAACAGCCAUAGGUCUGUUAGUCUAUUUUAUCAUGUAAUUCAGGACUCAGGAGCAAGCUGUGUAAUCUGUACUGUAUAAUUUAUGCAUGUUGGGUAGUGCAACCAAGGAAUACAAUUAGGUGGUACAGACUGAAAUUACA